rnacentral:rRNA from 1 species
CUUGGUCAUUUAGAGGAAGUAAAAGUCGUAACAAGGUUUCCGUAGGUGAACCUGCGGAAGGAUCAUUACUGGGUUUAGGACCUCGCGUCCACUCACCCGCCCUUUGUCAUGAGACGCGCAAGCAACUCACAUCGUUUCGGCUCCUGGCUCUCGGGCACCCCCGCUAUUAACUUAAUAGGGUACUGCCUGUUGGCCGCGGGUCGGCAUUGCAAACCCACGCGGAUUACUGAAGUCUGAUACAAUUUUUUAAACGAAAUUAAAAACUUUUAACAACGGAUCUCUUGGUUCUGGCAACGAUGAAGAACGCAGCGAAAUGCGAUAAUUAAUGUGAAUUGCAGAAUUCAGUGAAUCAUCGAAUCUUUGAACGCACAUUGCGCCUCCUGGUAUUCCGGGAGGCACGCCUGUCCGAGCGCCAUUACACCCCCCAAGCCUUGCUUGAUGUUGGGCCAUGACGUGCUGUCAAGCCCCAAACCUUUAGGCGCCCCCUACUGGCCGCGAGCGUAGCAAGAAUUUUUUUCCCUCGCUUCGCGUGUCCAAUAGGUGGGUCGCCAAUUGACCACCUAAAUUUUACAAGGUUUGGCCUCGGAUCAGGCGGGGAUACCCGCUGAACUUAAGCAUAUCAAUAAGCGGAGGAAAAGAAACCAACAGGGAUUGCCCCAGUAACGGCGAGUGAAGCGGCAUCAGCUCAAAUUUGAAAUCUGGCGUCUUCGGCGUCCGAGUUGUAAUUUGUAGAGAGUGUCUCGGGUGGAGCACCGGUCCAAGUCCCUUGGAACAGGAUAUCAUAGAGGGUGAGAAUCCCGUAUCCGGCCGGUCCCCUCCCCCGCUGUGAGACCUCUUCGACGAGUCGAGUUGUUUGGGAAUGCAGCUCUAAAUUGGAGGUAAAUUCCUUCUAAAGCUAAAUACUGGCCAGAGACCGAUAGCGCACAAGUAGAGUGAUCGAAAGAUGAAAAGCACUUUGAAAAGAGAGUCAAACAGUACGUGAAAUUGUUGAAAGGGAAGCGUAUGCGGCCAGACUUGUCCCCAGUUGCUCCGCCCGUCUUUUGGCGGGUGUACUCUUCUGGGGCCAGGCCAGCAUCGGUUUGGGCGGUCGGAUAAAGACGUUAGGAAUGUGGCCCCUCUCGGGGGGUGUUAUAGCCUGGCGUGCAAUGCGAUCAGCCCGGACCGAGGCCCGCGUUCUGCUAGGAUGCUGGCGUAAUGGCCGUAUACGGCCCGUCUUGAAACACGGACC